UACGGGGGGGGCAAGCGUUGUUCGGAAUUAUUGGGCGUAAAGAGCUCGUAGGCGGUGUGUCGCGUCGGCCGUGAAAACCUGCAGCUUAACUGUGGGCUUGCGGUCGAUACGGGCAUCACUGGAGUUCGGCAGGGGAGACUGGAAUUCCUGGUGUAGCGGUGAAAUGCGCAGAUAUCAGGAGGAACACCGAAGGCGAAGGCAGUGUCCUGGCGCGUGACUGACGCUAAGGUGCGAAAGCCAGGGGAGCGAACGGG
rnacentral:rRNA from 1 species